rnacentral:rRNA from 1 species
UACGGGGGGAGCAAGCGUUGUUCGGAUUUACUGGCGUAAAGGGCGCGUAGGCGGUCAGCACAAGUCAGUUGUGAAAUCUCCGGGCUUAACUCGGAAAGGUCAACUGAUACUGUGCGACUAGAGUGCGGAAGGGGCAACUGGAAUUCUCGGUGUAGCGGUGAAAUGCGUAGAUAUCUGGAGGAACACCGGUGGCGAAGGCGGCAUCCUGGACCGAUACUGACGCUGAGGAGCGAAAGCCAGGGGAGCAAAGCGGGAU